rnacentral:sRNA from 1 species
AUGUUUUUCGUAUGUGUUGGUAAUCCAGAUGAGCAAUUUCAGUACAUUACUCCAGUUGGCUCAGGAAUUAGUGAUGCAUUUACUAAUGAAAUAAGGUGUUAUCGUGAAGGUGAUUAUGGUGCCACAAAGUGGGAUACUGCCUACACAUCAACAAUACGUUCGGUCAAAUGCCAAAUGCUUGUUCAGGGUAGUCGUUGCUCGUCUUGUGCAGAAGACCGACGAAUGUUGAGAAAAAGACAACAGAGAGCCGAAGAGAAGAAAACUUCACCACCUGUGACUUUUGUUCAUCGAAUUUAUCAACAUAAACACAUGUCCAGAGAAAAUCUAGUGACCAAAAUUGAGCAACAAAAAACUGAAAUGAGAACCUUGUCUUCAGAAGUAGAGAAAUUAAAGAGACAACUUCAUAAACAAAUCUUGCAAAAUGGUGUAACUUUCAGCAAUCCCAUCGCAGAAAACAUUGAAAUGAAAGACCUCAUGUCAACAUGUCAAAAUGACUUUGAACAAGCCUUUCCCAAUCCAAAUAGCCUCCAAAGAUUGUUCUGGGAACAGCAGAUUAAAUUCAAUUCAGCAGGAAAGAACGGCAUGCGUUGGCAUCCCAUGUUGAUAAGAUGGUGCUUGUUCAUGAGAAGCAAAAGUGCGAAGGCAUAUGAUUCUAUGAGGGACAGUGGUUUCAUAAAGCUACCAAGUACAAGAACACUGUUUGAUUACUCGCAUUAUACAAAGAGUGCUCUAGGUUUCCAACCAGAUGUGAUGAAGAUGUUACAUGAUGAAGCAAGCAAGUUAGGUAAGAAACUAACUGUUUACAUUACCAGUGAUUUUCCAACCCUCUUAUUUGGGUCCAAAUAUGGGCCCCUGUCCCAAUGAGAAAUAUGCUCUUUUUUUCCCCAAGUUUCAGCUCUUAAAUUUUCAAUUGUGUAUAGACAUCAUUGUAAGGUUUUGUUGGUGUCGUAAUGUGGUAUUUUGUUGAAAAAUCUCUUGAAAUUGUUCACGAUAUAUGCAAUUAUAACUUAUUCCCCAUAAUGCAGAAUUUUGCUCCAAAUUUUUCACAAUUUUAUUGGGGACCGACCAAGUUGCACGCAGCUGGUGCGAGCUAAUUCAUUUUCCGCAAAUCAAACAUGUCAUGAACUUUUAUUCCCAAUUGCAUGGGCCCUGGGUCCCAUCCCUUAAACACUAGGAAAAUCACUGAUUACAAUUUAUUUUCUAUAAGUAGGAUUACUGUCAGUGUCAAAAAGAAUAAUUUUAUGAUAAAAGCAUCUCAUAGUGACCAACUUAAACAGCAUUUCAGGACUUUUAAGAAUAAUUUAAUCAGAAUCAAGCACAACUACAAAACAAGUCUGCCAUUUUUAUUUUAACCUUAAAGUCAUGAAAGUCAAUCAUGAUUUGAUGUUCAUUGUACAGGAAUAUGGAAAAAAAUGUACCUAUAAAAAUAUAGCUGUACAGAACAUUGAUCAGGGAAUGCGCCAGAACUAUGUCAUAUAUAUGCUGCUUGAAUUUUCUUGACUGUUUACAAUUACAUGUACUACAUGAACUACUUGUACCUUGGAAAUAGACAUAAAUUUAAGGGUAUCUAAGAGGUUUAUUUUGAAAAAAAAUGAGAUGUGGUAUGAUUGCCAAUGAGCAUGAUGAGACUACUCUCCACCAGAGUCAAUAAUCUGUGUCUUUAUUUACAUGAUACAAAUAUAUACAUCGUCCAGAAAUUUCAAUAACUUCAUUAUUUUAUUCUAUGAUGGGUUUCUUUUUUUUUCCAGCUAUGUAUGAAGACAACCACAAAAGCUUUGUUGGUAUUUUAUUUGACGAAAUAAAGAUACAGGAGGACUUAGUGUACGAUAAACACACUGGAGAAUUGAUAGGAUUUUGUGAUCUGGACUCCAUUGGCAAUGAAAUUCUGAACUUGGAAAAUCUUGUAGGAAACUGUCAAAAAUCACAAGUUGCAAAAUUUAUGCUAGUGAUUUAUGGUGAGAGGUGUGACCAGUAACUUGAAAUUUCCCCUAGCUGGGUUUCGCUACAAACAGUAUUACUGCUGAUUUUUUAUAUCCUAUCAUUUGGAAGGCCGUUUCAUUGAUAGAAUGUGUGGCAAAGUUAAAAGUUUUAUUUUGUACAUGUGACGGAGCAUCAGCCAACAGGCGUUUUUUUUCAACUUCACAAGAUAGAUAAUUCUGAGGAACCCGUUUAUUUCACCAUCAACCCACAUGACAACAGCAGAAAUUUGUAUUUUAUCUCAGAUGUCCCCCAUUUAAUUAAGACUGCCAGAAACUGUUUUAGCAACUCAUUCUCCCAUAAAAACACCAGACGACUAUGGAAAAAUGGAAAAGACAUCUCUUGGAUGCACAUGGUGAGACUGUUUGAGGAACACUGUGAGUUGCAACUAUAUAGUCCCUGUCCAAAGUUGACAAGGAGCCACAUUGACCUGGCAGCAUUCACGUAUAUGAAGGUAAAUUUGGCUGCUCAAAUUUUAAAGUGGUAGUGUGGCCAAUGCCUUGGAACAUUUGUAUGAUGACAGUGUGUCAGAAACUGUUUUGUUUAUUCGAAACUUCAAUAAAUUUUUCGAUUGCCUGAAUGUGAGGAAUUUGUUUGAAGGACGUAGGUGGUGAUGAUCCUCGACUUAAUUGGUUAAAAUCAACAUUUUUGGACUAUUUAAAGGAAUGGAAGCAGUCAGUCAUGCAAAGACCAAACCUGACACCUUCACAGAAAUUAUCUAUGCAACUAAGCGCACAAACUAUAGCUGGGGUGAAAAUCAGUAUAAAUUCUAUAACAGAAUGUGUGAAAUUUAUGUUGGACCAAGGAGCAGAUUUCGUACUAACUUACAACUUCAACCAAGACCCCCUAGAACAACAUUUCGGUCACUAUAGACACAAGGGAGGAGCCAAUAACAACCCCAGUGUUUAUGAAGUAAGACAUACCAUGACACAGUUACGUGCUGUUGGAGCUCAAGCAUUGAAUCCCAAGCGUGGAAAUAUAACAAAUGUUAACAAUAAUGAAAAUGUUAUCGACAACACGAAACUACAACGAAAACGAUAA